GACGAACGCUGGCGGCGUGCUUAACACAUGCAAGUCGAACGGGAUCCGGGCUUUCGGGUUUGGUGAGAGUGGCGAACGGGUGAGUAACACGUGAGUAACCUGCCCCCUUCUUUGGGAUAACGUCGGGAAAUCGGCGCUAAUACUGGAUAUUCUUGCUGCAUCGCAUGGUGUGGUUUGGAAAGGGUUUCUGGUGGGGGAUGGGCUCGCGGCCUAUCAGCUUGUUGGUGGGGUGAUGGCCUACCAAGGCUUUGACGGGUAGCCGGCCUGAGAGGGUGUCCGGGCACACUGGGACGGAGACACGGCCCAGACUACUACGGGAGGCAGCAGUGGGGAAUAUUGCACAAUGGGCGCAAGCCUGAUGCAGCGAGGCCGCGUGAGGGAUGACGGCCUUCGGGUUGUAAACCUCUUUCAGUAUGGAACAAGGAUCCUUCUUUUGGGGGGUUUGAGGGUACGUGCAGAAGAAGCGCCGGCUAACUACGUG
rnacentral:rRNA from 1 species